ACUCUCAUUUAAUUCCCUCUCAGGAUGGCAAGUGUUCAUGUUUAAUGAACUUUCUGCAGAGCCAUCUGGGGAGAUUUAAAACCACCCCUCCGGCAGCUGGUCGGGGUGUGAUUAAUGACGGCUGCGGACUCGAGCAGAGCAGAACCAAGGGGACGAGGCUCCUGCAAAGAGGUGCGAGCUCAGACCGUGGUUGAAGCACUCUUCUCAGCUGUUCCUUGCUGCACCACGUGUCUGUAGAGCAGCAGACCGUGGCCACGCAGCCCUGCUGCUCUUCUCCAGCCACAGCCUGCAGGGGCUCGCAGCGCUCAGCCGGCGGCACCGGGCAUUCCUGGGGACACGGGACAUUUAUUUUUUCAAUACGUUGUGGUCUGCGUUAGGUUUUCUGCUGCCUGGGUGAAGCCCCUUAAAUCUUGCUCCAAGUGACAGCUAUACGACCGCCCCUUGCUUUCCGGAGAGGUCGUUCGAUUUUAGCAGCAGUGGCAUUCACCCAGCGUUUUGCCAGGGGAAUACUGAAGGUCCAGCGUGUCACAGCGUUAUGUAAGGCUGUAAAAAUAUGGCUUUCCCCGGCGUAAAUCACAUUUCUGUGUCAGCAGCCAGCGAGCAGGAAGGGAAUUUGUUUAACCCUGCCGUGCCUGGCAGCUGGGUCACCUUCCCACAACGCAGCCACGAACCCAAGGGGAAUCAUCCCUGCCUUUUCCCUUGUGGUCCCAAAGAGUUUGCCCCCCGUCCUUGUGCAGGAGCUGUAAAUCCUUUCAAUCCACUUAUCUGCUUCUUCCUCCCCUUCGUUAUUCCUGCCUCGUGCACAUCCAGGCGUGCCCCUGGCAUCGCAUCCAUCCAUCACCCGUGGCACUUCUGGCUCUCCUCCCCUGAGACCCAUCACCAUCACACUUUGCGCCUCUCCUUCGGUCCACAAACCCUCUCCUCACCCUCAUUGUCUGUUGUCAGAGUCCUCACAAAGAGCAGCAAUCACCGAGGAGGUGGCCAGCACAAAGCAGGGGUGGGACGGAUGGGGAUAAUUCAGCCAAAGACAGAAGGAGAUGGACCACAACCAAGCCUAACUCAAUGCCACAAAAUUCGCAGUGCUGUACUUUUAUACGGGGAUCUCAGCACAAAAGGUGACCCUUGGGUAUCUCUCGAAUGCAGCUGUGUCCUCCUGGUGCUCCUCUUGCACUGCGCAUGCUGUAGGGAACACGAUGAAUGAGGCUCUCAUAUGACACCAACCCCAAGGACUAUUCCAGGCUAUGCAAGACAGCUGAGAAAUGACAGCAGAAUUAUUCCCAUUUUGUAGGUUAGGAACUGGGUCCAGACUCUGACCAGCCCACU